rnacentral:rRNA from 1 species
GACGAACGCUGGCGGCGUGCCUAAUACAUGCAAGUUGAGCGCUGAAGGUUGGUACUUGUACCAACUGGAUGAGCAGCGAACGGGUGAGUAACGCGUGGGGAAUCUGCCUUUGAGCGGGGGACAACAUUUGGAAACGAAUGCUAAUACCUCAUAAAAACUUUAAACACAAGUUUUAAGUUUGAAAGAUGCAAUUGCAUCACUCAAAGAUGAUCCCGCGUUGUAUUAGCUAGUUGGUGAGGUAAAGGCUCACCAAGGCGAUGAUACAUAGCCGACCUGAGAGGGUGAUCGGCCACAUUGGGACUGAGACAAGGCCCCAAAUCCUAAGGGAGGCAGCAGUAGGGAAUCUUCGGAAAUGGACGAAAGUCUGAACGAGCAAAGCCGCGUGAGUGAAGAAGGUUUUCGGAUCGUAAAACUCUGUUGGUAGAGAAGAAAGUUGGUGAGAGUGGAAAGCUCAUCAAGUGACGGUAACUAACCAGAAAGGGACGGCUAACUACGUG